GCCGUUGCAAAGGCAACGAUCCGAACUUCCGAAGUGAAGUGAACUGAACCAAACCAGCUGACAGACAUUGCGACCCCAAAAGAAGUAUUUUAUUUAUAUGUAACAGUUGACAAUUAACAAAUAGUCCUCGAGAGUUUUCAAGUCAUAAACAGAACACCACUAAAUGUCGGAAGAUACUGUUUGGUCUGCAAGUGAAGCUGCUAAUGUAUACCUUUCAAGUGUGGUCGCUGGGGCUUCAGAUGUAGCAUCCAGUGUGACCCAGAGUGUUGGUGUAGCUGUUCAUACUGUUGCAUAUGGAAUGGGUGAUGUAGUUCAAAAUGUGUCAAGUGGGGUAGGAGGAGCUGUUCAUGAGGUUACCUCUGGAGUUAAAAGAUUGCUUACUUCCCCACCAAAAGCUUUAGAUGAUAUGGAUGAAGAUAUGGAUGAAGAUGAGCACCCUGGUGUUCUUCCCCCCACUCCACGAAAUUCCACUUCACCUUAUCUAGAUCUAGAUCAUCCCCAAAGUGACCAGAGCCCCGGAACAGAUUCUGAAAUGGCUGCUGAAGAAGCUGCUAUUAAUAUUGAGUUAGGAAUUACUGAAGAUCAUUUUUGCCGACCUGAGGAGGGUUAUUUUGAACAGUCCUUAGAAGAACUUGAGGGAAGUGUAGAGAAAUGUAAAACUUUAAUUCUACAGUGUGAAGAGUCAAGUACAAGACGUCGAGCUCUUGUCCACAAAUUGAUACAACUUCGCCUGAGAGUGCAGGAGGCUAAUGAAUCUAUUGAAAUAGCAUCAUCAGGUGUUGUGUGUCUGAUGAAUCACCACUUUCAGCCUUUGAAGCCUCCGCUAGCAAGAGCAUCAAAAGAAUUUUGCGACCAGUGUGCUAACAUCAUUUGGGGUGUUAUCCAUGUGUCUUAUAGAUGCACUUUAUGUGGUUACCGAUGUCAUGGUCGAUGUGUUAAUAGAGUUCGGCGGAGAUGUGCCAGUGUGAAAGUGAAUGAGGAAGCUUCAUACAUUUUAAGCAUUUGUCCAGAAGUUGGAUUAUCAGCUCAGAACUACAGAUGUGCAGAGUGCAGGAGACUGAUAACAAAUAAAUACUUUCGUGUUUUCAAAAAGAAUGGAAAGGAAGUUCAGAGAAAAGCCCACCCUAGGGGCGUCUCAUGUUUGAGUGACCCAUUCAGAAAAGAGAACGCUUGGAGUGAACCUAGACGGUGUGACUAUUCUGGUCUUUACUAUUGCCCAGCUUGUCAUUGGAAUUCCCGUGUUGUGUUGCCAGCAAGAGUUGUUCAUAACUGGGACUUUGAAGAACGAGUAGUUAGUCGGCAAGCAAAACAGUUCCUUUUGCUGAUGAAAAAUAAGCCUGUGUUGAAUGUAGAAAGAAUUAAUGGCUACUUAUUCAAGUUUGUUGAUGAACUUGGUACAGUUAAGAAACUGAGAGAAGAUCUUCUUGUCAUGAAACAGUAUCUUGGAACUUGUAGAUCUGCUCAGGAAUCUCGAAUGCUGCGACAGUUAGAAGAACGUCAGCAUUUUGUUGAAAAUGCUCAUAUGUAUUCACUUCAGGAUCUGAUUGAUACUAAUUCAGGGCAAUUAGUAGAUUACUUGAAAAAAGUGCAUGAAACUUUCUCCAACCAUAUCAAGAAUGAAUGUUUGGUAUGUCAAGGAAAAGGAUACAUCUGUGAGAUAUGCGAUGUCAGUGAAAUAAUAUUCCCCUUCGAUGGUGGUGUUGUCAUAUGCAAUGGAUGUUCCACAGUUUUGCAUCACUUUUGUUAUACUUCUCGAUCUACAACGUGCCCUAGAUGUUUACGCCAAGAAGCAAGAAGAAAACAAGAAUUAACCAAGCAAAUGUCAAAAGAAGAAGAAGGAUGAAAGUGAAUCCAGCUACAUUUUUAUAAUGCUGUUUCAGUCAUUCACUCACUGUCAUCAGCAGGGGUACAGUUGAUCAGUGAAUCAACAUUCCAAUACACUAGCUGAGCACAGUAAAAAAAAAUGAAAUGAAAAAGGAAAGAAACUUCACAGGUCACAAUUGUUCUUCAUGAAACUACACAAAACAGGUUUCUUAGCUCCAGUGAGGUCUGCUUGUUUAAAAAUUUGCAGUGAAAUUUUCUUCUGCUGGAGGGGAGAGCCUAGCCAGAAUUGUUUUGGGCUUAUGUUUGGAGCUCAUCAAGAUCCUUCCAUAUCACAUCCAUUACCUUGUUGUAGGCUUAUCCACUGUUUGUCAAUAUGCACAUGCUCCAACUCCAUGUGAAGAGAUUUCCAGGCACUACUGUGCAAGAAGGCCCUCUGAUGUGGACACCAAUACCAGACCAGAUAAGACAUUACCCUAAAAAAACUGGUAAAUCUACUAUAUGUAAUCAUGGGGAGAGGUGUAUAUAUAUACUAUAUGAAUAAUAUGGAUGAUGUUCUCAAUGACAAACCAGUUUUAAACAUUAAAGAGGUACAUUGAAGAGUAAGAGUACAGCAUGUAGUAUGGUAAAAAGGGUAAACAGACUGCAGCAGGGUGUCAAGUUCACUAAGGUGGUUGGCAACUAUAUGAAGACCUACCAUUCCUUAAGACAAAAUCUGUUUUGUUUACCAGUGUUCCAGUUCAAAAGACCUCUUCAUUACCACCUGAGCAGAAAAUUCUGAAAAAACUAGCAAAUCUAGAAGGUUUUUGCCAGUGUCUUCAAUCUAACAAAUGUUGCUAGCAAAGAGAAGAUUAUUCCUUUUCUUAUCAAACCAAAGCCCUGUAAAGUCCAGAUCGGUCGGUGUGACCCUCAGGCCAUCCUUGCUUCAAAAGCAAAACUCUCAAGAAACACUGAUCCAGCGCUCCUGCUUCAAACAGGCUUUGACAUUGUUAGAACUGUAAUAAUGAAUGUUUGUCAGACAAUGGAAGCUUUCCAACCUUAUGUAUCGAACUCUUCCAAUUUGUAUAUAGAAUUGUUAACCACUCUUCCAGGUGUGAGAAAACACAUCUGGCUGUAUACAGAUACCUCUGUUUUUUCCUUAUAUCAAAUGCUACUUUUAUGCUCGCAAGAAUUCUUGACCUGUCCGAAACGUUACCGAUAAAUCAGAAUACACCUUGACUCUGCCACUCACUCGCCGCAUCAUUAUACCUGUGACCCCUGGAGAUGACUGAUGCUGCCAGCACCAGCUUAUCCAAUGACUGCUGCAGCAGCAGCAAGCAUCUGCCUGCCCACCCUUGACAACCCACAACCCAGAGGCCUGGUGUCUUCAGAGUGGAUACCAUCUUCAGGUCUAAGAUGAUCUCAUUAUCAUGCAAAGCCUAUGCCAUCCUCGAGUUCCUGCCAGACGACGACUUUGAACAAAUCACAGAAUGGCUAGCCGACCAAAAGAACGCUGUCACAAACAAAGCACUGAGGGACCAACAAAGCACAGGAGGACCAACUAAGGUUGUCCUUCAGCAUGCCACCUGCCCUCAAAGCAAAGUAGUUCUUAAGAGAACAUGGGGACAGCAAUAGGAGACCAGCAGCUGUCAUGUCUACAAGCAACUGUGGCAGCUAAUUACACUCCCUGCCAUAGGUGGCCGGCCAUAAACUACGUUUGACCUGUGAGAGAGGUCCUCAUCGUAAAAUUACCUCGCCAAACAGUUGCGGCCAUCCCCAGUUCAUCAACCAUGGACCUCGACGAGUUCCUGAAGAUGGUCAAAGCUGUCCACCUGGCCCACAAGUCAACUGAGCCUACACAACCACUCGUAGCAGCAGUCACCCCACAGCCACAACAGCAGGCUUAUGCAGAGACAGACACAACUCAAAGGGCCCCGCUGGUCCCAUACACUGCUACCUGAGCUUCAGGUGGAAAAACAAACCCAAAACCAAAGGACAUCCCAAGGGCAUUUGUUUCUUACCACUGGAGGUUCGGGAAUAAAGCCCAAGCAUGCAAAAAUGACUGCUGUAUGUCAAAAAAAAAAAAAAAACAUACAAAAAGGUCGCAGUAACAAACUAAAAGUUAGCCGUGGGCAGACCAGUUGCCUCAAAAAAGCAACCACCUGGUUUCUGUUGUCUUUCUUCUAUGUACAGGCAAAAGGACUCCACAUGUUUUUUUACCAGAGGUCAGUUGCCUACUACAGGAGUUCCCGAGGUAUUUAUGGACAUCCUGCAACACGACCUGACCAAACCCGAAAAGCAGCACAUCCAGCACCAUAUGGUCAGUGAAGGUCCAUCCAGUAUACACCCAUUUCAGACAAUUGUCCCCAAAAAAAUCGCCCACACCAAACAAGCUUUCCACAACUUAAAACGGUCAGAAAUAGGCCAAAAAGUCUCCAGCCCCUGGGCAUCUCCCUUCACAUGGUACCAUUGAUGUUGCAUGGCAGACCUUGUGGCAAAUCCCAAGGACUCAACAUCAGGCGCCCAAUGCUGAACAUUGCUGAUGGAGGGCGCCAGAACUUUUACAAAGAUUGAUCUGCUUGAAGGGAUAAUUACAAGUCUCGUUAGCAAAGAAGGACAUAGAAAAAGUGGUCAUUAUCACUCCCUUCAGCAUGUACACCUUUAACUACAGUUGCUUUCGUCUUCAGAACUCGGGUGCGAUCUUCCAACGUCUGACAGAUGAAAUCCUGGGCAACCUACCCUUCAGUCAAUUUCAGCCCCAACAUCAAACAACACAUGAGACAUCAGGUCCCUCACCCUACCAACAGACAUAAGCAGCACAGCGAUGGGCGUGGUACUCUAACAAGACGCAGACGACGUUUGUCGCCCCUUGGCAUUCUUUAGCAAGAAGUGAUGACCAGCAGAACAAAAGCAAUCCACGGUUGACUGAGAUUUACUGGCAGUCCACAGAGCCAUCCACCAAAUGCUAUAUUGACAAAAAUUCGUGGUGCAUGCCUUCACCAAAAGUGGAGACAGUUGGUUGGCAAGAGAACAGCGUCACCUAGCGGCAAUAACUGAAUGCUCCUGUACCAUCAUAUACUUAAAGGGCUCAUCCAACAACAUGGGAGAUGCCCUUUCCUGAAACUCCAUUAACAUCGUCCAGUUCAGGAUAACAUAUCCCAAAAUAGCAUCAGCUCAGAAGUAUGAUGUGAACCUACAGUGACUCGACAACUUGCAUGAGAACCCUGCCUUACGUGGGAGAUGAGUACCUGAUGCCCUCGGCCAUACCUACUAUUAGGGUUGAGAUAGAAAGCCUUCAACCUCACCCAUAGCCUGUCCCACCCUUCAGGCAGAUCAGCCACUUGAACCGUCAGAGCAGUAAAUGAAGGCAGACAUAAAAAAGUGGGCAAGAGAAUGCCUCCCAUGUCAAACAUAAAAAAAUGAGGCACACAGAAACAGGGAUAGGAGAGUUCCAGACAGUGGUGACUAGCCCACAUCCACGUCGACAUAGGACUACCCUGCUCCUCUCCGAGGGGUACAG